GCAGGAAAUUCCUGACAGGCGUUUCAGAGCUAUGCUGGAAACAGCAUAGCAAGUUGAAAUAAGGCUAGUCCGUUAUCAACUUGAAAAAGUGGCACCGAGUCGGUGCUUUUUUU
rnacentral:sRNA from 1 species